rnacentral:sRNA from 1 species
GCAUCCACAAUGUAUGUGAGGAUGAGAAACUCCGGGGCAGGAGGUUCGACUCGAGCGAAGCGAGAGAACGUUGCUUUAGCAACGGCCCGCAGGGCGAGCCACGAAGUGGCGAGUCAUCCUCUCUCGCCGACCA